AGCCUUUAUUCACAUUUAACACAACAAAUAUACCCUGCGGUCCAAUGUGCAUACUAUCCACCCUAUCUGCCCUAAAUCAAGUAUUGAAAAUGACUAAUAUCACAUAGAAUUUAGGAUGAGCGCAGUUUUUCAUCCGCUCCACGAGGCGGCGGAAGUGCUUUCAGAGACUUCGGAUCCUCGACAACAUGAAACUGAUCAGAUGUAGAAACCUCGGAAGAACACGGCACAGUAAGGCAUGUGUUUGGACAGAAGCAGAGCUCUGGGACGUGUGGACAGACUUUGACUGUAAUGAUGGACGUCUGCUCAAGGACAGAAGCAUAACCGCUGCUGGACAUCACUCUGGGACUCAGGGGGGGACCCGAAUCAUCCUCACCCCUUCAUUCACACAACACUCACUCAUAUCACAGAGAUCUGGCUGGGAUUGAACCAGCGACCUCUGAACCAUGAGGCAGCGCUCUUACCUGUGAGCCAC
rnacentral:lncRNA from 1 species